AGUUGCUCACAAAUCUUCACAGACUUUCAUUAAGUGGCGCAAAAAAGCAAUGAAUGUUCAGUCAUUAAUAAGUUCGAAUUUUCGAAGUUAUUAAAAGGUUCGAAUUUUCGAAGAUACUCACAAACCUUCACCGACUUUCAUUAAGUGGCGCAAAAAAGCAAUGAAUGUUCAGUCAUUAAUAAGUUCGAAUUUUCGAAGUU